AAGUCGUAACAAGGUUUUCGUAGGUGAACCUGCGAAAGGAUCAUUAGUGAAUAUAGGGUGACUCUGUAAAGAGAACCCCGGUUUCCACUUAUUAUCAUACACUGUGCACUAAACCUUUUUUAACUUACGUUGAAAAACACUUGUGUCAAAUUAUGUUUGUGAAUGUACAAUCAUGUUAAAAUGAAAGUAAAA
rnacentral:misc_RNA from 1 species